rnacentral:piRNA from 1 species
UUCCNGGUAGAUGCUACAGAUUAACCGUAUA